rnacentral:rRNA from 1 species
GACGAACGCUGGCGGCGUGCUUAACACAUGCAAGUCGAACGAUGAAGAAGAGAAACGCGAACUUCGGUUCAAAUUUCACUUCGGAUUAGUGGCAGACGGGUGAGUAACGCGUGAGCAACCUACCUCUUACAAAGGGAUAGCCUCGGGAAACCGUGAUUAAUACCAUAUGACACAUUCAUAAGGCAUCUUAAGAAUGUUAAAGCUACGGCGGUAAGAGAUGGGCUCGCGUCCCAUUAGCUAGUUGGUGAGGUAACGGCCCGCCAAGGCGACGAUGGGUAACCGGCCUGAGAGGGUGAACGGUCACAUUGGAACUGAGACACGGUCCAAACUCCUACGGGAGGCAGCAGUGGGGAAUAUUGCACAAUGGAGGGAACUCUGAUGCAGCGACGCCGCGUGAGCGAUGAAGGAAUUCGUUUCGUAAAGCUCUGUUCUAUGGGAAGAAAAGGACUGUACCAUAGGAGAAAGCCCCGGCUAAAUACGUG